rnacentral:lncRNA from 1 species
GGGAAAGAGGUGGCAUCGGCGGUUCAAGACUGAGUUUUCUAUCUCUUCAGUGCCUCUUUCAACAAUGAAGAUCAAACCAGGUUUUGUGCAAAUAUCUGCUGAGUGAACUACUUAUUUGAAAAUACAUCAUUGGUUAAUAUUCCCUUUUGCUCAUUGAAAUCUCAAAGACUACAGACCCCGCACAAGACAUUCUGACAUUCCCGUCUUUGAAAUGAAUGACAGCAAUGAUAAAUAUGGCUCACCUCCAGAGAUACAGAUCUCACAACUUCAUAUUUUUAAUAUAAAUUAUUAAUCUGAGUUUCCAGAAGCAGAGAGAGAUAAGACCCAUGAUAAUCAAGCCAUAAACAGAUGCAUUUACUAGCUGAAUGGCCAACAAUGGAAUUCAACAAAUCCAUCUUGAGCACGGCAGCCAGGAGUGUGGUGCAAUUCCAUUAGAUGAAAGAGAUCUACACAUUCAGAAGCACAUGAUUCUUCCCCCUUCCAUGAUUCCAGUGGCCAAUAGACAAACUACAAUAAAGCCAUGCCCUGACUGGAUGUGCCUAACAUUUGUCUGGUGCUUAAAGGAGUUGGCUGCAUGCGUGGAAAUGUUGGAAAGUCACCAAAAAUAGUUCUCCAAGUCAGAAGCGGUGCAAAAGCUGCCUCAGCUCUUGGUGGAUUUUCAAUUUCUCCCAGCCAUCUCUGUUUCGCUAAAGGUUUCUGAAGACAGUGGGGGAAGCUUUUUUCUCCUCCCCAUCCUGAUCACUAGUAUGAGAAGGGGUGCUAAUGGACCAGCCUUGGCCUUGCAGAUGAAGAUGAUGAAGGAAGAAGGUAAAAGGAAACUGUGUACCUGUGUGACCUCUGGUAGUUCAGGUGCCCUAUCCUGCGGGCCACCUGUUAGCUUAAACUUUUGUAUAAUUGAGAAAAUGAGGGUUUUCUCUUAAUUAAGGCACUGUUGUUUGUUGUUUACUAAGGCAACCAAAUAAAUCACCUAGCUAAUAAAGAA